rnacentral:rRNA from 1 species
AGUGAACGCUGGCGGUAGGCCUAACACAUGCAAGUCGAACGGCAGCACAGUAAGAGCUUGCUCUUACGGGUGGCGAGUGGCGGACGGGUGAGGAAUACAUCGGAAUCUACUUUUUCGUGGGGGAUAACGUAGGGAAACUUACGCUAAUACCGCAUACGACCUACGGGUGAAAGCAGGGGAUCUUCGGACCUUGCGCGAUUGAAUGAGCCGAUGUCGGAUUAGCUAGUUGGCGGGGUAAAGGCCCACCAAGGCGACGAUCCGUAGCUGGUCUGAGAGGAUGAUCAGCCACACUGGAACUGAGACACGGUCCAGACUCCUACGGGAGGCAGCAGUGGGGAAUAUUAGACAAUGGGCGCAAGCCUGAUCCAGCCAUACCGCGUGGGUGAAGAAGGCCUUCGGGUUGUAAAGCCCUUUUGUUGGGAAAGAAAAGCAGCAGGUUAAUACCCCGCUGCUCUGACGGUAUCCAAAGAAUAAGCACCGGCUAACUUCGUG